GGGCCCGCACAAGCAGCGGAGCAUGUGGUUUAAUUCGAAGCAACGCGAAGAACCUUACCAAGGCUUGACAUCCUCUGACGCGCGUAGAGAUACGCGUUUCCCUUCGGGGACAGGGAGACAGGUGGUGCAUGGUUGUCGUCAGCUCGUGUCGUGAGAUGUUGGGUUAAGUCCCGCAACGAGCGCAACCCUUAUCAUUAGUUGCCAGCGAGUAAAGUCGGGAACUCUAAUGAGACUGCCGAGGACAACUCGGAGGAAGGUGGGGAUGAUGUCAAAUCAGCAUGCCCUUUAUGUCUUGGGCUACACACGUGCUACAAUGGCCGGUACAAAGAGGAGCGAGCCUGUGAAGGUGAGCGAAUCUCAAAAAGCCGGUCUCAGUUCAGAUUGUGGGCUGCAACCCGCCCACAUGAAGUCGGAGUUGCUAGUAAUCGCGAAUCAGCAUGUCGCGGUGAAUGCGUUCCCGGGCCUU
rnacentral:rRNA from 1 species